rnacentral:rRNA from 1 species
UGAAGUAAAAAAUCGUAACAAGGUCUCCGUUGGUGAACCAGCGGAGGGAUCAUUACCGAGUUUACAACUCCCAAACCCAAUGUGAACCAUACCAAACUGUUGCCUCGGCGGGGUCACGCCCCGGGUGCGUCGCAGCCCCGGAACCAGGCGCCCGCCGGAGGGACCAACCAAACUCUUUUCUGUAGUCCCCUCGCGGACGUUAUUUCUUACAGCUCUGAGCAAAAAUUCAAAAUGAAUCAAAACUUUCAACAACGGAUCUCUUGGUUCUGGCAUCGAUGAAGAACGCAGCGAAAUGCGAUAAGUAAUGUGAAUUGCAGAAUUCAGUGAAUCAUCGAAUCUUUGAACGCACAUUGCGCCCGCCAGUAUUCUGGCGGGCAUGCCUGUCCGAGCGUCAUUUCAACCCUCGAACCCCUCCGGGGGGUCGGCGUUGGGGACCUCGGGAGCCCCUAAGACGGGAUCCCGGCCCCGAAAUACAGUGGCGGUCUCGCCGCAGCCUCUCCUGCGCAGUAGUUUGCACAACUCGCACCGGGAGCGCGGCGCGUCCACGUCCGUAAAACACCCAACUUCUGAAAUGUUGACCUCGGAUCAGGUAGGAAUACCCGCUGAACUUAAGCAUAUCAAUAAGCCGGAGGAAA